UAACACAGGUGCUGCAUGGCUGUCGUCAGCUCGUGCCGUGAGGUGUAUGGUUAAGUCCCACAACGAGCGCAACCCUCGUCGCUAGUUAAUUCCCUAGCGAGACCGCCUCGCAAAACGAGGAGGAAGGCGGGGAUGGCGUCAAGUCAGCAUGGCCUUUAUACCCUGGGCGACACACACGCUACAAUGGGUGGUACAGUAGGUAGCGAAGGAGCGAUCCGGAGCAAAUCCUUAAAACCAUCCUCAGUACGGAUUGCAGGCUGAAACCCGCCUGCAUGAAGCCGGAGUUGCUAGUAACCGCAUAUCAGCAUGGUGCGGUGAAUACGUUCUCGGGCCUU
rnacentral:rRNA from 1 species